rnacentral:rRNA from 1 species
AACCCAGACUAAUAAAACUCGGCGUAAAGGGUGUUUUAGAAAAACCAUAAAUAAGACUAAAAUUUAUCUAAGUCGUAAAAAACACCAGAUAAAGCACGCACUAAGACGAAAGUGGUCUUAUUACAUCUGAACACACGAAAGCUAGGACUCAAACUGGGAUUAGAUACCCCACUAUGCCUAGCCAUAAACAUAAAAAUUUUACAACAAAAAUUCUCGCCUGAGAACUACUAGCCAUAGCCUAAAACUCAAAGGACUUGGCGGUGCUUUAUACCCACCUAGAGGAGCCUGUUCUGUAAUCGAUAAACCCCGAUAUACCUCACCACUCCUUGCUAAUU